rnacentral:rRNA from 1 species
GAUGAACGCUGACAGAAUGCUUAACACAUGCAAGUCAACUUGAACUUCGGUUUGGGUGGCGGACGGGUGAGUAACGCGUAAAGAACUUGCCUCACAGCUAGGGACAACAUUUGGAAACGAAUGCUAAUACCUGAUAUUAUGAUUAUAUGGCAUCGUAUAAUUAUGAAAGCUAUAUGCGCUGUGAGAGAGCUUUGCGUCCCAUUAGCUAGUUGGAGAGGUAACGGCUCACCAAGGCGAUGAUGGGUAGCCGGCCUGAGAGGGUGAUCGGCCACAAGGGGACUGAGACACGGCCCUUACUCCUACGGGAGGCAGCAGUGGGGAAUAUUGGACAAUGGACCGAGAGUCUGAUCCAGCAAUUCUGUGUGCACGAUGAAGUUUUCGGAAUGUAAAGUGCUUUCAGUUGGGAAGAAAAAAUGACGGUACCAACAGAAGAAGUGACGGCUAAAUACGUGCCAGCAGCCGCGGUAAA